rnacentral:misc_RNA from 1 species
GGUGAAGAACGUAGUGAAAUGCGAUAAGUAAUGUGAAUUGCAGAAUUCAGUGAAUCAUCGAAUCUUUGAACGCAUCUUGCGCUCCUUGGUAUUCUGAGGAGCAUGCCUGUUUGAGUGUCAUUAAAUUCUCAACUACACUGACUUUGAAUUGGUGUGGCUUGGAUUUGGGUGGGAAAAUUGUUGUGGGCUUUUUGUAUAGUCUGCUCCCCUGAAAUUGAUUAGCGGUACCUUUGUGGAACUGUCUACAGGUGUGAUAAUUAUCUACAUCCUAGACAUCUGCUGGAAUGCUGCUUUCUAAACCUUACUUGUAUUGACAAUCUUGACCUCAAAUCAGGUAGGACUACCCGCUGAACUUAAGCAUAUCAAUAAGCGGAGGA